GGUUGUGACUCAGUGGUAGAGUGCUUGCUUAGCAUGCAUGAGGCCCUGGGUUCAAUCCCCAGCACCA
rnacentral:tRNA from 1 species